rnacentral:rRNA from 1 species
UACGAAGGGAGCUAGCGUUGUUCGGAAUCACUGGGCGUAAAGCGCACGUAGGCGGGUUUUUAAGUCAGGGGUGAAAUCCUGGAGCUCAACUCCAGAACUGCCUUUGAUACUGAAGAUCUUGAGUUCGGGAGAGGUGAGUGGAACUGCGAGUGUAGAGGUGAAAUUCGUAGAUAUUCGCAAGAACACCAGUGGCGAAGGCGGCUCACUGGCCCGAUACUGACGCUGAGGCACGAAAGCGUGGGGAGCAAACAGGG